GACGAACGCUGGCGGCGUGCUUAACACAUGCAAGUCGAACGGCAAGGCCCUGCUUUUGUGGGGUGCUCGAGUGGCGAACGGGUGCGUAACACGUGAGUAACCUGCCCUUGACUUUGGGAUAACUUCAGGAAACUAGGGCUAAUACCGGAUAGGAGCUCCUGCUGCAUGGUGGGGGUUGGAACGUUUCGGCGGGUGGGGUUGGACUCGCGGCUUAUCAGCUUGUUGGUGGGGUAGUGGCUUACCGAGGCUUUGACGGGUAGCCGGCCUGAGAGGGUGACCGGCCACAAUGGGACUGAGGGACGGAGCAGUCGCCUACGGGAGGCAGUAGUGGGGAAUAUUGCACAAUGGGCGGGAGCCUGAUGCAGCAGCGUCGCGGGCGUGAUGACCGCCUGUGGGGUGUGAACCGCUUUCGCCUGUGACGAAGCGGGAGUGACGGUAAUGAGUAAAGAAGCACCGGCUAACUACGUG
rnacentral:rRNA from 1 species